GAAAGACUUGUUUUUACAAGUUUUCCCUUUAGCCUAAUACCCAAACCUCUAAAAUCCAAAUCCCUAACUUAGAGCACUCAGCAGCGCAGCCAUAAUGCUCAAUGCCCACAACACAAGGCUUCUUACUUCCAUCUUUCUCCUCCAUACCUGAGCCUGAGAGAGCUAGUGAGCCUAAGAGCUGCCGCCGUCCUUCAGAGUUUAGUCGCAAGUCGUCCAUUGUCGCCGUGAAGGACGUCAUCGAUCUCCAUCGCAGGCGUUGCAGAGAGCUGGAGAGCGCCGUCGUCUAACCGCAGUCUUCACGCCGUCGUCGAUCUCCGUCUGAGCCGUUCUUUUCCGUCGCUGAGCAGCAGUCUCCGUCGCCGAGCAAACCCUUAGUUCGAGCCCUCUCCUACAACUCAAUGUCUUCUUUUGAGAUAUAUCGACGAAGAUGAGGAGACAGACAAGUUUGCACGUUCUGUUGCUAAUUUGGCUCUGGAAAGAGAGGUCAAAGCUAAUUUCAGUGAAUUUCAGGGCUGGCUUGAAAAACAUGCGUGAUGAGCAAGCUUUGUUGGUUUUUGUAACUAAUUGUUAUUAUCAUGUUGAUUUUGUAAUAGUUUAGCUUGACGAUGUAGUAAAAGAAUUUUACAAUUGUAGUGGAAAAAAAUGGCCACUGGUAAUCUUGCAUAAUAAGCGAAUGAGAAGGCUUAUGGAUAAUCCAUCAAGCAGAAGUGGAUGAAUAAUGGUGCACUCUAUACGACUCCAACUGGAUCCAAUGAUGAUUGAUUCGGUUCGAUUCGGUUGUCCAAAAAGCAGCAAACCGAACAGUUAACAUCAUUAUAAAACUGAAUAGGUCGAUUCGGUUGGUUUUCGGUCAAAAACCGAACCAAACCGAACCGAUUACACCCCUACCUGUGGCAGCUGCAAGUCCGGUUUCAGUUGUCACAGCCGACGGCGAUGGCGCUGGAAGUGGAGUUUUUGGCCAGAUGGCUGCACAUUCAGGCGGUCAAGGAGGUGAGCUGGCACCUUGUUUGGGUUUGGGGUCAUUUGACAGUGGUGGAACUUAUCAUCAUCAGUUGCAGCAACAACCACCACAACAUGGAGGAGUAGGGGAAAAUUAUGUUGGUCUUGCAAAUCAUCAUCACUAUCCUGUUGAGGCGCAAUUUCUGCUCCCAUCACAACAACAACCAUCAGAGAGUGAGGACUGUAAGAGUGUCGGCCCUUCUUGAUGAUUUUUUUGAUUUUCUGCAGCUAAAUGGUUUUUUUUUUGCCAAAGAAGUUUUAAUUCUAAGUAUGUUCUUUUUGUUAUUGUUAUGUAUUUUUGGAUUGAUUAUAGGAUAAUGAUAACGAUGGUAGUUAGUUGUGACUUUAGCUUAUAAUAAUAAACAGGCGAGAGAGCGGGAAGUAGUUGAGGAAGCUGGUGGCUACUGGUCAUGGAAUCGGAAUCAUCAGUAAUGAUAAUAUUAAUGCAUAGAUUACUUUGCUGGUUAGUUG